rnacentral:misc_RNA from 1 species
AACGCAUAUUGCGCCCUCUGGUAUUCCGGUGGGCAUGCCUGUUCGAGCGUCAUUGAACACCCCUCAAGCUCUGCUUGGUGUUGGGCGCCGCCGCGAGAGUGGCGCGCCCCAAAUGAACAUUGGCUGCGGGGUUUUCGCUCCGAGCGCUGUGAGGCGUACCAACGCCAUGCGUUACGGGGCGGGCCUGGCGGGCCAGCAAACAACAAAGUGGGAUCCUCCACUCCUCGUUUGACCUCGGAUCAGGUAGGGUUACCCGCUGAACUUAA